AGGAUGAACGCUGGCGGUCUGCUUAACACAUGCAAGUCGAACGGAGUAGCAAUACUUAGUGGCGGACGGGUGAGUAACGCGUGAGAAUCUACCUUCAGGACGGAGACAACAGUUGGAAACGACUGCUAACCCCCGAUGUACUGAAAAGGCAAAUAUUUAUAGCCUGAAGAAGAGCUCGCGUCCGAUUAGCUAGUUGGAGAGGUAAAAGCUCACCAAGGCGACGAUCGGUAGCUGGUCUGAGAGGACGAUCAGCCACACUGGGACUGAGACACGGCCCAGACUCCUACGGGAGGCAGCAGUGGGGAAUUUUCCGCAAUGGGCGAAAGCCUGACGGAGCAAGACCGCGUGGGGGAAGAAGGCUCUUGGGUUGUAAACCCCUUUUCUCUGGGAAGAACACAAUGACGGUACCAGAGGAAUCAGCAUCGGCUAACUCCGCGCUAGCAGCCGC
rnacentral:rRNA from 1 species